CAGGCCUAACACAUGCAAGUCGAGCGAGAAAGGGGCAACCCCGGUAAAGCGGCGCACGGGUGAGUAACACGUAGGUAAUUUACCCCCAGGUGGUGGAUAACCUUCCGAAAGGAGGGCUAAUACAGCGUAAGACCACGACUCCGCGAGGAGAUGAGGUCAAAGCCGGCCUCUUCAUGAAAGCUGGCGCCAGGGGAUGAGCCUGCGGCCCAUCACGGUAGUUGGUAGGGUAAUGGCCUACCAAGCCUAAGACGGGUAGCUGGUCUGAGAGGAUGAUCAGCCACACUGGAACUGAGACACGGUCCAGACUCCUACGGGAGGCAGCAGUGGGGAAUCUUGCGCAAUGGGCGAAAGCCUGACGCAGCGACGCCGCGUGAGUGAUGAAGGCCUUCGGGUUGUAAAGCUCUGUGGGGAGGGACGAAUAAGUGCCGGCUAAUAUCCAGCGCGAUGACGGUACCUCGGUAGCAAGCACCGGCUAACUCUGUGCCAGCA
rnacentral:rRNA from 1 species